rnacentral:rRNA from 1 species
GACGAACGCUGGCGGCGUGCUUAACACAUGCAAGUCGAACGAUGAAGCCGGAGCUUGCUCUUAUGAAGUUAGCGGCGGACGGGUGAGUAACACGUGGGUAACCUGCCCAUAAGACUGGGAUAACUCCGGGAAACCGGGGCUAAUACCGGAUAACAUUUUGAACCGCAUGGUUCGAAAUUGAAAGGCGGCUUCGGCUGUCACUUAUGGAUGGACCCGCGUCGCAUUAGCUAGUUGGUGAGGUAACGGCUCACCAAGGCAACGAUGCGUAGCCGACCUGAGAGGGUGAUCGGCCACACUGGGACUGAGACAAGGCCCAGACUCCUACGGGAGGCAGCAGUAGGGAAUCUUCCGCAAUGGACGAAAGUCUGACGGAGCAACGCCGCGUGAGUGAUGAAGGCUUUCGGGUCGUAAAACUCUGUUGUUAGGGAAGAACAAGUGCUAGUUGAAUAAGCUGGCACCUUGACGGUACCUAACCAGAAAGCCACGGCUAACUACGUGCCAGCCGCCGCGGUAA